UAGCGGAGAAAUUCCAAUCGAACCCGGAGAUAGCUGGUUCUCUCCGAAAUAGCUUUAGGGCUAGCCUCGACUGAACAUUACCGGAGGUAAAGCACUGAAUGGGCUAGGGGCCGAGAGGUUACUGAACCCUAUCAAACUAAGAAUGCCGGAUAAUGAUAGUCGGGAGUCAGACAGUGUGAGAUAAGUUUCAUUGUCGAAAGGGAAACAGCCCAGACCCACAGCUAAGGUCCCAAAGUAUCGUUAAGUGGAAAAGGAUGUGGAACUGCCCAGACAACCAGGAUGUUGGCUCAGAAGCAGCCAUACAUUCAAAGAGUGCGUAAUAGCUCACUGGUCGAGUGGUUCUGCGCCGAAAAUUUAACGGGGCUAAACGAUACACCGAAGCUUGGGAUGCAGCAUUGGCUGCAUGGUAGGAGAGCGUUCUGUACGGGGUGAAGUCAUAGCGGAAGCGGUGGUGGACUGUACAGAAGAGAGAAUGCCGGAAUGAGUAGCGAGAUUUAUGUGAGAAUCAUAAAGGCCGAAAGACUAAGGAUUUAGAAGGAAGGUUCGUCCGCUUCUAGUUAGCCGGGAGCUAAGGCGAGGCCGAAAGGCGUAGUCGAUGCACAUACGGUGGAGAUUCCGUAGCCGCCUCUUAAUUUAAGCAAAGGGACACUUUCAAAGGGAAUGACCCGGGCGUUGGUAGCCCCGGGCGAAAGGGACCGAAAUUAGAGUAGGGAAGCAUUUCUGGAGGAAGGCGAGAAAAGCUUUGCGGAUAGAGAGAGGCGCCCGUACCGCAAACCGACACAGGUAGUCAGGAAGAGGAUUCUAAGGCCAACGGGAGAAGGGUAGUUAAGGAACUCGGCAAAUUGACCCCGUAACUUCGGAAUAAGGGGUGCUCCUGAAAAGGAGCCGCAGUGAAUAGGCCCAGGCGACUGUUUAUCAAAAACACAGCUCUCUGCUAAAUCGAAAGAUGAAGUAUAGGGGGUGACACCUGCCCGGUGCUGGAAGGUUAAGAGGAAGGGUGCAAGCUCUGAAUUGAAGCCCCAGUAAACGGCGGCCGUAACUAUAACGGUCCUAAGGUAGCGAAAUUCCUUGUCGGGUAAGUUCCGACCCGCACGAAUGGUGUAACGAUCUGGGCACUGUCUCAACUACCCACCCGGCGAAAUUGUAGUACCGGUGAAGAUGCCGGUUACCCGCGGCAAGACGGAAAGACCCCAUGGAGCUUUACUGUAGCCUGAUAUUGGGUUUCGGUAUUCUAUGUACAGGAUAGGCGGGAGACUGGGAACCGAUGGCGUCAGCUGUCGGGGAGUCACCCUUGGGAUACCGCUCUUAGAGUACUGGAAUUCUAACCUGCGGCCGUGAAUCCGGCCGGGGGACAUUGUCAGGUGGGCAGUUUGACUGGGGCGGUCGCCUCCAAAAAGGUAACGGAGGCGCUCAAAGGUUCGCUCAGCACGGACGGAAACCGUGCCUCUGAGUGCAAACGCAAAAGCGAGCCUAACUGCGAGGC
rnacentral:rRNA from 1 species